rnacentral:rRNA from 1 species
AUUGUGAGUUCGAUGAGUAGGGCGGGACACGUGACAUCCUGUCUGAAUAUGGGGGGACCAUCCUCCAAGGCUAAAUACUCCUGACUGACCGAUAGUGAACCAGUACCGUGAGGGAAAGGCGAAAAGAACCCCGGCGAGGGGAGUGAAAUAGAACCUGAAACCGUGUACGUACAAGCAGUGGGAGCCUUGAUUAAUCAGGGUGACUGCGUACCUUUUGUAUAAUGGGUCAGCGACUUAUAUUCUGUAGCAAGGUUAACCGUAUAGGGGAGCCGCAGGGAAACCGAGUCUUAACUGGGCGUUAAGUUGCAGGGUAUAGACCCGAAACCCGGUGAUCUAGCCAUGGGCAGGUUGAAGGUUGGGUAACACUAACUGGAGGACCGAACCGACUAAUGUUGAAAAAUUAGCGGAUGACUUGUGGCUGGGGGUGAAAGGCCAAUCAAACCGGGAGAUAGCUGGUUCUCCCCGAAAGCUAUUUAGGUAGCGCCUCGUGAAUUCAUCUUCGGGGGUAGAGCACUGUUUCGGCUAGGGGGUCAUCCCGACUUACCAACCCGAUGCAAACUACGAAUACCGAAGAAUGUUAUCACGGGAGACACACGGCGGGUGCUAACGUUCGUCGUGAAGAGGGAAACAACCCAGACCGCCAGCUAAGGUCCCAAAGUCAUGGUUAAGUGGGAAACGAUGUGGGAAGGCACAGACAGCCAGGAUGUUGGCUUAGAAGCAGCCAUCAUUUAAAGAAAGCGUAAUAGCUCACUGGUCGAGUCGGCCUGCGCGGAAGAUGUAACGGGGCUAAACCAUGCACCGAAGCUGCGGCAGCGACACUUAGGUGUUGUUGGGUAGGGGAGCGUUCUGUAAGCCGUCGAAGGUGGCCUGUGAGGGCUGCUGGAGGUAUCAGAAGUGCGAAUGCUGACAUAAGUAACGAUAAUGCGGGUGAAAAACCCGCACGCCGGAAGACCAAGGGUUCCUGUCCAACGUUAAUCGGGGCAGGGUGAGUCGACCCCUAAGGCGAGGCUGAAAAGCGUAGUCGAUGGGAAACAGGUUAAUAUUCCUGUACUCGGUGUUACUGCGAAGGGGGGACGGAGAAAGCUAGGUUAUCCGGGCGACGGUUGUCCCGGUUUAAGCGUGAAGGUGGAUGACUUUGGUAAAUCCGGGUCGUCAUUAACACUGAGGCGUGAUGACGAGUCACUACGGUGAUGAAGUAACCGAUGCUACGCUUCCAGGAAAAGCCUCUAAGCUCCAGGUAACAUCAAAUCGUACCCCAAACCGACACAGGUGGUCAGGUAGAGAAUACUCAGGCGCUUGAGAGAACUCGGGUGAAGGAACUAGGCAAAAUGGUGCCGUAACUUCGGGAGAAGGCACGCUGAUGGUAGGUGAAGUGACUUGCUCACGGAGCUGAACUCAGUCGAAGAUACCAGCUGGCUGCAACUGUUUAAUAAAAACACAGCACUGUGCAAACACGAAAGUGGACGUAUACGGUGUGACGCCUGCCCGGUGCCGGAAGGUUAAUUGAUGGGGUCAGCCGCAAGGCGAAGCUCUUGAUCGAAGCCCCGGUAAACGGCGGCCGUAACUAUAACGGUCCUAAGGUAGCGAAAUUCCUUGUCGGGUAAGUUCCGACCUGCACGAAUGGCGUAAUGAUGGCCAGGCUGUCUCCACCCGAGACUCAGUGAAAUUGAACUCGCUGUGAAGAUGCAGUGUACCCGCGGCAAGACGGAAAGACCCCGUGAACCUUUACUAUAGCUUGACACUGAACCUUGAGCCUUGAUGUGUAGGAUAGGUGGGAGGCUUUGAAGCGUGGACGCCAGUCUGCGUGGAGCCAACCUUGAAAUACCACCCUUUAAUGUUUGAUGUUCUAACGU